GGGGGGGGGGGGGGGGGGGGGGGGGGGGGGGGGGGGGGGGGGGGGGGGGGGGGGGGGGGGGGGGGGGGGGGGGGGGGGGGGGGGGGGGGGGGGGGGGGACCUGGCCGUGACACGGCGCCACGAGAACGAGCCGAGCAGCAGCAGCAUCUACAGCCAGAACGACCCCUGGGACCCCCCGGUCACCUUCGAGAGCUUCAUCCGCGACAACGAGACCAUCGAGGACCAGGACCUGGUGGCCUGGGUGACCGUGGGCUUCCUGCACGUGCCCCACGCCGAGGACAUCCCCAACACGGCCACCCCCGGCAACGCCGUCGGCUUCUUCCUGCGCCCCUUCAACUUCUUCAACGAGGACCCGUCGGUGGCGUCGCGCGCCGCCGUCAUCGUGCGGCCCCUGGACCCCCCGGCCUUCAGCCAGGUGCACAUCCAGCGCUGGACCCCCGCCAGCCCCGGGCCCUGCGUGCACCCCGAGCCCUUCAGCUACAACGGCACCUCCCGCCCGGUGUGACACGCGGGGACACGGGGACACGGGGACACUGGGACACUGCGGUGCGGGGUGUCACACUGUGCCACCUGCCAGGCUCGGGAAAGGCGAUGCCACCCCUGCCACCACCACGUGGGUCACUGGUGCCAGCAGGACACUGGGACGUGUCACACAGUGCCACACAGUGCCAUGGGCUGGUAAAGGCAAUGUCACCUCCUCUGCUGCUGGCACUGGCACCACGAGGACACCGGUGCCCCCAGGACACACGGCAUGGCUCAUGGCACACGUGACACACGGUACCACCUGUCCGUCCCAGUACAGGUGAUGCCACCCCUUCCCCACCACACGGGACCCCAGUGUCACGGGGACACCACGGUGGGGACAUGUCACACGACGCCACGCGCUGGGCUCAGUAAAGGUGAUGCCACCUCCUCCGUCCCCGUCUCUGCCAAUGCUGCGGCCACCAGGAUGCCCCGAGCAGUCCCCAGGUGACAGGAGGUGGAAUCACGGUGACACCCGAGGUCACUGUCCCUCCCCCGAGCUCCCAGGGGUGACACACAGAGCCGGGGGUCUCCGUCUGGUUUAUUGGGGCUCCUACGCGGGGGUGACAUGCAGGGUGACAAGGGACAAACACAGCACACGCAUCGGGGCGGCCGGGCAGCGCCAGCCCCGCCCCCCGCGUCCCCCUCCUGUGCGGGGGGUGUCACCCGUGUGACACCCGGCUGUGCGGGGGGAGCGCCGGGGGCUGGGGGGACACACGGGGGACCCCGACCCCUCCCUCGGCCGGGACACGGAGGGGCACACACGGACCCGCCAGGCCCCGGGGGGUCACACCCGAGGGGGGGACAGGCGGGGGGGGGGGGGGGGGGGGGGGGGGGGGGGGGGGGGGGGGGGGGGGGGGGGGGGGGGGGGGGGGGGGGGGGGGGGGGGGGGGGGGGGGGGGGGG
rnacentral:lncRNA from 1 species